UACGUAGGGGGCAAGCGUUGUCCGGAAUCAUUGGGCGUAAAGCGCGUGUAGGCGGUUCGGUAAGUCUGCUGUGAAAGUCCAGGGCUCAACCCUGGGAUGCCGGUGGAUACUGUCGGACUAGAGUACGGAAGAGGCGAGUGGAAUUCCUGGUGUAGCGGUGAAAUGCGCAGAUAUCAGGAAGAACACCAAUGGCGAAGGCAGCUCUCUGGGACGGUACUGACGCUGAGACGCGAAAGCGUGGGGAGCGAACAGG
rnacentral:rRNA from 1 species